GCUAAUUGCUUACAAUGAGGGAAUCUUAUUUGGACAAAUUUGCCUACUUGAGCAAAACAUUGCUCGGAUCUUGUCCCCUGGACCUUGGAGGACUUUUGGUGUGGAUGAUGUUCAGGACCUACCAAAGCAAGGAUUUUCAAACAAUUGUGGGGUGUUUGUUUUGAUGACGAUACUGAAAACAAAAUGCACGGCGAACUGGGAACUGUGAACUGGGAAGCAGAUGUUCUUCUAAGCGACACCCUAGAGGCAGCAAGGUGGUGCGAACGCCAAACAGAUGUUCUUCUCAGGGACAGCCUAGAGGCAGCAAGGUGGUGCGAACUCCAAACAUUUAAAGGCACUGUUUCCCUCCCUAGUGUAAUUGGGAUGGACGGGGAAGACCGUAUUACAACCCUUAAAGAACUACGGUUGUAUGAUGGCCUGGAUGAAGAGGAAAAUAUUCUCCUCUAGGAAACGUUCAUGUUCCAGUUACAGAGAGAUUAUGAGAUGUUCUAUGUGGAGGCAGUUGACAACAAGAAAAUGACUGUCUGUGUCACGCCCUGACCAUAGUUUGCUUUGUAUGUUUUAUGUUUUGUUUGGUCAGGGUGUGAUCUGA